rnacentral:rRNA from 1 species
UACGUAGGGUGCGAGCGUUAAUCGGAAUUACUGGGCGUAAAGCGUGCGCAGGCGGCUUUGCAAGACAGAUGUGAAAUCCCCGGGCUUAACCUGGGAACUGCAUCCGAUACUGGAUGGCUUGAAUCCGGGAGAGGGAUGCAGAAUUCCAGGUGUAGCGGUGAAAUGCGUAGAUAUCUGGAGGAAUACCGGUGGCGAAGGCGGCAUCCUGGACCGGCAUUGACGCUGAUGAGCGAAAGCUAGGGGAGCAAACGGG